GACGAACCGUGCGAACGUUGUUCGGAAUCACUGGGCUUAAAGGGCGCGUAGGCGGCCCGCCAAGUCCGGGGUGAAAGCCCCCAGCUCAACUGGGGAAGUGCCUCGGAUACUGGCGGGCUCGAGUGAGGCAGGGGUCGUGGGAACUUCCGGUGGAGCGGUGAAAUGCGUUGAUAUCGGAAGGAACGCCGGUGGCGAAAGCGCACGACUGGUCCUCUUCUGACGCUGAGGCGCGAAAGCCAGGGGAGCAAACGGG
rnacentral:rRNA from 1 species